rnacentral:rRNA from 1 species
GUCAAGUCAUCAUGCCCCUUAUGUCUUGGGCUGCACACGUGCUACGAUGGCCGGUACAAUGAGCUGCGAUACCGCGAGGUGGAGAGAAUCUCAAAAAGCCGGUCUCAGUUCGGAUUGGGGUCUGCAACUCGACCCCAUGAAGUCGGAGUUGCUAGUAAUCGCAGAUCAGCAUUGCUGCGGUGAAUACGUUCCCGGGCCUUGUACACACCGCCCGUCACGUCACGAAAGUCGGUAACACCCGAAGCCGGUGGCCCAACCCCUUGUGGGAGGGAAUCGUCGAAGGUGGGACUGGCGAUUGGGACGAAGUCGUAACAAGGUAGCCGUACCGGAAGGUGC